rnacentral:other from 1 species
UAUCUUCUGUGGCGUUCGUGUAUAGACUGGCAAAACUUGAGCCUAAUUGCAUUUGCCAGGGAGCUGAACCGCGAUGUUGUGUUCAUACCCGGUCCGCCGGGGAGUCUGAUACAUCGCCUGCUGUUCCCACUUGAACAAAUCGGUUCAAGUUAAAACGUCUUUACGACGCCACGGUUGAUAC